rnacentral:rRNA from 1 species
AUUGAACGCUGGCGGCAUGCUUUACACAUGCAAGUCGGACGAGUGGCGGACGGGUGAGUAACAUAUCGGAACGUACCGAGUAUUGGGGGAUAACUAAUCUAAAGAUUAGCUAAUACCGCAUAUUAUUCGAGCGGCCGAUACCUGAUUAGCUGGUGGGUGGGGUAAAGGCCUACGAAGGCGACGAUCAGUAGCGGGUCUGAGAGGAUGAUCGGCCAAACUUGGACUGAGACACGGCCCAGACUCCUACGGGAGGCAGCAGUGGGGAAUUUUGGACAAUGGGCGCAAGCCUGACCCAGCAAGGCCGCGUGUGUGAAGAAGGCCUUCGGGUCGUAAAGGACUUUUGUCAGGGAAGCGGUAUCUGAAGAAUAAGCACCGGCUAACUACGUGCCAGCAGCCGCGGUAAUUC